AAGGAAAUGUAGAGAGGGGGCAGUGGUUUGAGGCUAACUGGUAAGGGAAAUUAUUUAUGUUAAAGACAGCAGCAACUUGUGGGUCAACAGAAAGCAAAUAGUGCAAAGAAAGAACUUAAAGAUGCCAAAGAAGUUGACUUACAGGGAAUAAAAACAAAUGCUAAAAAGGAUGGAAGUGACUGGAUUCUCAAUGGAAGCAAGUGCUGUGCAUUUUAGGUGAUGGAAGUAACCAACAUCAUUUUAUACCCCUACUAUUUCAAAGAGAGAGAGAUAAAAACAGAUCAUUUUGGUAAAUUUGAGGUGUUGUAGGACCGCUUAACCGAG
rnacentral:lncRNA from 1 species